ensembl:lncRNA
CCUCUGUCUGACCGCCCGCUCCUGUCCACAGCAUAGAAAAUGCUGACCGUGCCACAAUGAUCUGUCUGACCGCCCUCCCCUGUCCACAGCAUAGAAAAUGCUGACCGUGCCACAAUGAUCUCUGUCUGACCGCCCUCCCCUGUCCACAGCAUAGAAAAUGCUGACCGUGCCACAAUGAUCUCUGUCUGACCGUCCGCCCUGACCGUGUCACAAUGAUCUCUGUCUGACCGCCCGCUCCUGUCCACAGCAUAGAAAAUGCUGACCGUGCCACAAUGAUCUCUGUCUGACCGCCCUCCCCUGUCCACAGCAUUGAAAAUGCUGACCGUGCCACAAUGAUCUCUGUCUGACCGUCCGCCCUGACCGUGUCACAAUGAUCUCUGUCUGACCGUCCGCCCUGACCGUGUCACAAUGAUCUCUGUCUGACCGUCCGCCCUGACCGUGUCACAAUGAUCUCUGUCUGACCGUCCGCCCUGACCGUGUCACAAUGAUCUCUGUCUGACCGCCCGCUCCUGUCCACAGCAUAGAAAAUGCUGACCGUGCCACAAUGAUCUCUGUCUGACCGUCCGCCCUGACCGUGUCACAAUGAUCUCUGUCUGACCGCCCACUCCUGUCCACAGCAUAGAAAAUGCUGACCGUGCCACAAUGAUCUCUGUCUGACCGUCCGCCCUGACCGUGUCACAAUGAUCUCUGUCUGACCGCCCGCUCCUGUCCACAGCAUUGAAAAUGCUGACAGUGCCACAAUGAUCUCUGUUGGGACCAGCAGCUCUCGCAGGGAUCCCGCGGGGAUGCAGCCUUCUAGUGCAGUCAGUAGGCCAACACAACACUAUGCUCAUCAUGCCUUAGCAGGAUCAGACGGUGACAGGGUUCCCAGCUGGAUCAGACAGCCAGGGAAGACCAGUCUACUGAGCUCAGGAGGAUCAGAUGGUGACAGGGGUCUCAGCAGGGUUAGGCAGCCAGGGAAGUCUGUGAUGGAGAUUCUCCCUUCUUCCUGUUUUUAUUUGUUUGGAAAUGUUGAUACUGCAAACUGUUAUCUGAAGAAACAGUGUAACCAAGCAUUUAGAGCGUCUAAUAAAUGCAUUGCCAUUAAUCGGCGAAAAUUGAGAAAAAGGGUCCUAUCCUUAGCGUGGGCUGGAUGGUCAUGUUUCGGAGGACGCAUGACUCAACCUUCGCCUCCCGAGCCCGUUGGGGAGUUGCAGCGAUGAGACAAGAUCGAAAUUGGGGAGAAAAAGUG